GGGCCCGCACAAGCGGUGGAGCAUGUGGUUUAAUUCGAUGCAACGCGAAGAACCUUACCUACUCUUGACAUCCAGAGAAGCCAGUAGAGAUACAGGUGUGCCUUCGGGAGCUCUGAGACAGGUGCUGCAUGGCUGUCGUCAGCUCGUGUUGUGAAAUGUUGGGUUAAGUCCCGCAACGAGCGCAACCCUUAUCCUUGUUUGCCAGCGAGUAAUGUCGGGAACUCCAGGGAGACUGCCGGUGAUAAACCGGAGGAAGGUGGGGACGACGUCAAGUCAUCAUGGCCCUUACGAGUAGGGCUACACACGUGCUACAAUGGCGCAUACAGAGGCGGCCAACUUGCGAAAGUGAGCGAAUCCCAAAAAGUGCGUCGUAGUCCGGAUUGGAGUCUGCAACUCGACUCCAUGAAGUCGGAAUCGCUAGUAAUCGUGGAUC
rnacentral:rRNA from 1 species